UAGAGUUGUGCUCCUUCUCUGCCUCUUAGAU
rnacentral:piRNA from 1 species